rnacentral:rRNA from 1 species
GUGGCGGACGGGUGAGUAACGCGUGGGUAACCUGCCUCAUACAGGGGGAUAACAGUUAGAAAUGACUGCUAAUACCGCAUAAGCACACGUGAUCGCAUGAUCGAGUGUGAAAAACUCCGGUGGUAUGAGAUGGACCCGCGUCUGAUUAGGUAGUUGGUGGGGUAACGGCCUACCAAGCCGACGAUCAGUAGCCGACCUGAGAGGGCGACCGGCCACAUUGGGACUGAGACACGGCCCAAACUCCUACGGGAGGCAGCAGUGGGGAAUAUUGCACAAUGGGGGAAACCCUGAUGCAGCGACGCCGCGUGAAGGAAGAAGUAUUUCGGUAUGUAAACUUCUAUCAGCAGGGAAGAAAAUGACGGUACCUGACUAAGAAGCCCCGGCUAACUACGUGCCAGCAGCCGCGGUAAUACGUAGGGGGCAAGCGUUAUCCGGAUUUACUGGGUGUAAAGGGAGCGUAGACGGAGAGGCAAGUCUGAUGUGAAAACCCGGGGCUCAACCCCGGGACUGCUUUGGAAACUAUGCAGCUAGAGUGUCGGAGAGGCAAGUGGAAUUCCCAGUGUAGCGGUGAAAUGCGUAGAUAUUGGGAGGAACACCAGUGGCGAAGGCGGCUUGCUGGACGAUGACUGACGUUGAGGCUCGAAAGCGUGGGGAGCAAACAGGAUUA